rnacentral:sRNA from 1 species
CGACUUGGGCCGAGAGCUCUCCACACUGCAUGCCCUACUCUGGGAGGUGCUGCCCCAGCUCAGCAAGGUCAGCAGAUCCCCUCUUUGCCCUAUCCCCAGAUGGCUCCAGAGGUUCCUGGAGCCUGAGAAACUACCCUUUGAAGAUUUUUUUUCUCCCCUUGUUCCUCGAGGUGUCA